GGAUUAGAUACCCUGGUAGUCCACGCCCUAAACGAUGUACACUAGUUGUUGCGAUGCUAGACAUUGCAGUAAUGCAGUUAACACAUUAAGUGUACCGCCUGGGGAGUACGGUCGCAAGAUUAAAACUCAAAGGAAUAGACGGGGACCCGCACAAGCGGUGGAGCAUGUGGUUUAAUUCGACGAUACGCGAAGAACCUUACCUGGACUUGACAUUUACAGAAUUUUUCAGAGAUGAGAGAGUGUCUGCUUGCAGAAACUGUAGGACAGGUGCUGCACGGCUGUCGUCAGCUCGUGCCG
rnacentral:rRNA from 1 species